rnacentral:piRNA from 1 species
UCUUAGCCAUUCUGCAUGGUAUGAGGUGU